UAGUCCACGCCGUAAACGAUGGAUACUAGCUGUUUGGACUUCGGUCUGAGUGGCUAAGCGAAAGUGAUAAGUAUCCCACCUGGGGAGUACGUUCGCAAGAAUGAAACUCAAAGGAAUUGACGGGGGCCCGCACAAGCGGUGGAGCAUGUGGUUUAAUUCGAUGAUACGCGAGGAACCUUACCAGGGCUUAAAUGUAAGUUGCAUAAACUAGAGAUAGUUUUUUCUUCGGACUACUUACAAGGUGCUGCAUGGUUGUCGUCAGCUCGUGCCGUGAGGUGUCAGGUUAAGUCCUAUAACGAGCGCAACCCCUAUUGUUAGUUGCCAGCGGGUCAUGCCGGGAACUCUAACAAGACUGCCGGUGCAAACCGUGAGGAAGGUGGGGAUGAUGUCAAAUCAUCACGGCCCUUACGUCCUGGGCUACACACGUGCUACAAUGGCCAGUACAGAGAGCAGCCACUGCGCGAGCAGGAGCGAAUCUACAAAGCUGGUCACAGUUCGGAUCGG
rnacentral:rRNA from 1 species